GGGGCACAACCAGGCAGGGCCGAACGCUGUACACACAGUGCUGAGGAGGGCGGCUCUUUCUGCUCUCAAAUCGUGCUCCUUUUGUUGCCUUUCAACCAAAUAAAGGGAGAGAGUCGUUUUUAAAAGGCCUGAAAAGUCAACGGUUACAUUAAAAAAAAAAACCCCACUUAAAAAACCAAAGUGAUGGCGGUUUGGUCCCAACAAGUCAACACUGAGAUCUUUAUUCACAUGCUCCAUUGCUUCUUACUUCAAGAACCAAAAAUAGUUUCCAAAAUGAUCAUUUAAUUGAUGUUCCUACACAAAGGCCUAAAAGGAGAGUACGGAUUUAAAAAAAAAAAACAAACUGAAUACACAACGGGGGAGAAAAAGGGGGAAGGGGUGAGGAAACCCCGAGCUGCACUACUGCAAAUUAUAAAAGAGAAACAAAAACAUCAACUAAAGGUGGGCACAAACCCCAUUCCACGGCGCCUUCAAAGCCCGUUACCAAACAAACCCCCCAACCAAACUGAAGAACAACCAUUCUGUAAGGGCACGGACAGAACAGCCGGAGCCUCACCCAGCACUCGACCUCAUUCAGUCCACAAUGUCUUUGGGAAGAUGCGCUCCGUGAGCGGACCCAAGCAGAAAUGAUGCGUCAGUUCUCACCCCCGGGGAGGGGGGCAGAGCUCUGACAGCGCAGGGAACGUCGGGGUUAUGUCAGAGCCCUUCGAGGGGCUCCGCUCCGGGGGCCGCCCUGAGGCCCGGCACGGUGAGUGCCGCUCCCGGCACCGCGGCUAUUCGGCCGCCGACUGCAGGCUGUCUUUGUCCUCUCUGUUCUCCGUCCCGCUCUCAUCGUCUUCGAUUUCUCCUUCUUCGCCGCUGAAUUUGUCGUGAGCCCAUUUGGGGCUGGUGCUCGACUUCCUGAACAUGAAACGCCCUCGGCCUCGGGGGAAGGCACCGCGGCCACGGCCUCUGCUCACCCACUUCUCCGCGCCUUCGCCCUCGCGGUCAUCGUGCAGGUAGUACUUCUUGCUCUUCGGUGUGUACUCAGGAUCCCAAUCCUCUUCCCUGCUUCUCUUCUGGAAGUCAUUGUUGCCACCACUGUUGCUGUUAUUGUUGCCUGAAAAGUUGCCUCGGCCCCAUCCUCUCCCCCUCGCUCUGAAUUGAAAGGUCCCUCGGGCUCUUCCUCUCUCAUUUGGACCCGUGAACUCCUUAGUUCCAAGUCGGGACUUGUCAAAGCCUGUGGUGCUUUCCUCCCUCUCCUCAGUCUCCUCGGGAUACUCCUCUGCUUUCACUGAAUGAGAGGACCGUGAGGACGACGAGCUGGAUCUGGACCUCUCACGCACCCUUCGGUGUUUCUUUUUCUUUGAGCUUUUGUGACUUUUCUCCGUUUUCUCAGCUGAUCUUUCCCUUGAGUGACUCGAAUCUCUGGACUCCACCGACUCUCUGGAUUUAUCACGUUUAAGAUCUCUUUCCUUAUGUUUUUUACGGCGCUCGAUAUCAAGGCGCAGGUCAACAGGGUCAUCCUUGUAUUUCCCUUCAGCCUUGAAGCCGGGAUCUCUGGAACUUUUCGAUUCCUCUUGAGAGAAUCCAUGUUUUCUAAAAGUACUGGGAGAAAUAUCUAUCCUCCUGAAAGCAAAGGAAGCACAAAGAUAUCACCUUGAUUACAAGAUGACACUGGACACGAAACUUAAGAUUCACUGUAAAGGAGACUGUCAUAUAUUCCCAAACACAUUGAAAACUCAUUUUUCCCCACUUUUGAUGAAGCUGCUAUAGAGCAUCUUAAGUUCUCUGAUCCAACAGUUCUCCUGAUGAGAAGUUAUUGUUCACUAAGUAUCUGUUCAAGUACUUUUCCAGCUGUAGACAAAAAGACAUUUCACUUUUUCAAGUUGCUUACCCAGUAACAUCUAAAAGAUAUCAGGUCUAGCCUUCAGGAACUCAAAUGACAGACCAAGACAUUGCCUCCCCUCCACGGUAUCACUUCUGCUCAUGGAUUUAAUAACUAACUUCCUUAGUCUCAUCAGAGGCUGGGUAGGAGAUCAGACAUAACAUUAACACAAAGGCCACACUGUACUACUCCCUUAGCCAGGCACAGAUACACCCGUUUUCUCCUAUUCUUGAGUUAUUCCAGAACAACUGCAGAGUUUAAGGCCUGAAAACCCUCCUGCCACGCCACCAACCUGUGAAUUUCAGGGCUCUUUUUAUUUUUAGCUGCUUCUUGUUCCAUUCCUUUCUUUAGGUAUUUGGUAAAGCGUUCGUUCAGCGUCAUUCCUGACGAUCCAAAGUGAUGCUCUCUUACAUGAUGGACUAUAGUCACUAUGUGUUGAGCAAACAGUUCAGAAGGACUUCGCUGAGACUGAGCAGACUGAAUAUGAUGAAAUAUGGAACGAAACUCCUGCUCUUUUUUGUUGCUGUGCACAAGGUCACGACACAGCUUGCGUUCCUGAGCCAGUAUGCCACUUGGACGCGCAAGAUCUUCAUCAAAGGAGUCCAUCCGAAUAUUGACCUGGGCCUCACGAGUAAUGGAAAAGGAGGACUUGCCAGGAGCCAGCCCAUCUCCUUUGGAACCUGGCUUCUCCUUUACCUCAGAGGCCUUCCUUGGUGGGGGAGAAGAGCUUUUUUCCUGGCUUGUUUUAUAAGUGGUCACCCUAAAAUUCUUUUCAGGAACAAAGCCCCGGUGACCCGGCUCAGAUCUCUUGGAUGCUGGCCUCUCUUCUUUUUUAGAUCUCUCAGAAUAGCUCUCCUCCUCCAUUUCCUCAGACUUUCUUUGCUUCUCUUUUCCAGGUGGCAAGAACACCACACCUUCCCAUUUGCCUUGCCUAUCCUCUUCUUGACUUUUACUCGAUGUUGCUACCACUUUUGACAUAAAUUUGGGCUCAUCAUCAAAAUCCGAAUCCUUACGGCCCUUUGCCUUUUCUUUCUUUUCCUGAUCAUCCGUUUCAUCUUUGCCAUAAUGACUUUCCUUGUGGAACUCCGGGGCCUUUGGCUUGUCAAAGUCAUCUCGGAACUUGUAGCGCUUGGGUGACUGACUGCCACGGUAUCCCUUCUCAGAAUCUGCUUUGGAUGCAUAGGAAUCAGAUUUUGCCUUUCCAUCUGUUGAUCCCACCUCUGAGAAAUUCCCUUUCUCUUUAUUUUUUUCCUUCUCAACAUUUGUUACUUUCUGAUCUUUGUCCUUCCCAUUCUCCGCCUUCUGCUCUUCCAGAUACCUCUUUGAGAAGGCUCCUCCGCCAGGAGCUGUGGUUUCCUCCUUCUGAGAUGUACCAUACAUGGAACUGAUUGGCGUUGGACUUUUGCACACAGGGCUCUUUCUUGUUGGACUCAAACCUGACGAGCCGUGGUCAAAUGGACUCUGAUGAGAUCCUGCCUGAAAGGAGGUGCUGCUCUGCGACGCAGAGCUCAUCUGAGAGGGGUUGGACAGUGGGGAGCUCGACUUCUGCAAUGGACUUGGCCGAGGAGAACGCCGCCUCACCACAACUGAUUGGAGAGGGCUUUUUAACGCAGGGCUGCGUUCCCUCGGGCUGAGCUCAGGCGCAGCAGCUCUCGAUGUUGAGCUGCUACCAUAGGUGGACACAUCUUGCCAUGGUUUUGAUCCCUCAGAUGCCUUGGCAUCUUGAGCAGCUGCUCCUGAAAACGGCUGCUCUUUAGAAUCAUCACCUUGGUUAUCUCCUGCAGCCUGAGAUGCCCGGGCUUCCUUGGAAGAUGACUUUUUCUCCUUUCCAGAUUUACGCUUGGAAGACUCAACUCGGCUAUGGUUGGAGGAAGACCGAGAAGAGGAAGACCUCCUCGACCGAUCAGAUGAUGACUUAUCAGAAUUUCUAGAAUGACUUCUAGACCUUGGGGAAGGAGACCUUCUCUUGGGUGAACGGGAGCGUGACCUCCCCCUACGAGGGCUAUACGCUUGGCGGUAGUUUUGCCAGUUAGACCUGUAGUUCCCAUAUCCUCCUCUGUUAUAUUGGCCCCACGGAUAGAACCCUCGAUUUCGGCCUCGGAAAUAAUAUGGUCUCCUGUAUCCUCUGUUAUGACCUCUGAAAUCCCGGUUCUGAUAGACUCUUGGAUGGUUCCUUUCCCUGUUAUGAGAUGGAGAAUAUGACCUUGAACGGGACCUAGAACUGAGCCUGCGUUUCCUCGAGCGUGAAACAGAGCGAGAACGGGAACGAGAUUUGGAGAAGGAACGUGAGCGUGAUCUCGACCCAGAUCUCGAACGAGAAGAACGAGAUCCAGAUUUGGAUUUGUUGGUUUUAGACAUCCUGAGAGCACUCGUCAGUGACACCUGCUCCAGCAGAUUCACACUGUGUACCCUUCAACAGUCAGUUUUACUGCCUGAGUUGUGUCAAUUAUGAAACCAGGAAACAAACCUGAAAUGAGAAGAGAAUACAUUGAAGCACUUAGUAUUUACUUGUCUACUUUCCUCUGUCAGCAAACAAAAGGAGCCAGCUUCCUCAAUUCCAAUUUCAAAUGCAGCAGCCUUUGUCCCAGCCAGGAUCCCUCUCUGCAACUUUAAAACCCCAGGAAACAGAAAAUCUGACUGAGCAAAUAGAAAUGCAGUCCUACAGUGAUCGUGCAAUUUACAGCUCCAUAAAAACCACCACUUCCAUGCUCCUUAAUUCGUCUGCAUGCCAGAAGAGGUAAGUGGCACCCGCGGAUGUCAGGAGGCCAGGUUAAGCACAGUGCCUGAAGAACUGACAAAUAUUAGGUAAGAUACAAUGAUGAAAGAUAGGAAAUCAGAAGAGGCCUUGAG
rnacentral:lncRNA from 1 species